AGAGUUUGAUCCUGGCUCAGGACGAACGCUGGCGGCGUGCCUAAUACAUGCAAGUCGAACGCACUCUCGUUAGAUUGAAGAAGCUUGCUUCUGAUUGAUAACAUUUGAGUGAGUGGCGGACGGGUGAGUAACACGUGGGUAACCUGCCCUAAAGUGGGGGAUAACAUUUGGAAACAGAUGCUAAUACCGCAUAAAACCUAGCACCGCAUGGUGCAAGGUUGAAAGAUGGUUUCGGCUAUCACUUUAGGAUGGACCCGCGGUGCAUUAGUUAGUUGGUGAGGUAAAGGCUCACCAAGACCGUGAUGCAUAGCCGACCUGAGAGGGUAAUCGGCCACACUGGGACUGAGACACGGCCCAGACUCCUACGGGAGGCAGCAGUAGGGAAUCUUCCACAAUGGACGAAAGUCUGAUGGAGCAACGCCGCGUGAGUGAAGAAGGUUUUCGGAUCGUAAAACUCUGUAGUUGGAGAAGAACGUAUUUGAUAGUAACUGAUCAGGUAGUGACGGUAUCCAACCAGAAAGCCACGGCUAACUACGUGCCAGCAGCCGCGGUAAUACGUAGGUGGCAAGCGUUGUCCGGAUUUAUUGGGCGUAAAGCGAGCGCAGGCGGUUUCUUAAGUCUGAUGUGAAAGCCUUCGGCUCAACCGAAGAAGUGCAUCGGAAACUGGGGAACUUGAGUGCAGAAGAGGACAGUGGAACUCCAUGUGUAGCGGCGAAAUGCGUAGAUAUAUGGAAGAACACCAGUGGCGAAGGCGGCUGUCUGGUCUGUAACUGACGCUGAGGCUCGAAAGCAUGGGUAGCAAACAGGAUUAGAUACCCUGGUAGUCCACGCGGUAAACGAUGGAUGCUCGCUGUUUGCGUCUGACGUAAGCGGCCAAGCGAAAGCGUUAAGCAUCCCACCUGGGGAGUACGCCGGCAACGGUGAAACUCAAAGGAAUUGACGGGGGCCCGCACAAGCGGAGGAACAUGUGGUUUAAUUCGAUGAUACGCGAGGAACCUUACCCGGGCUUGAACUGUAGGCGAACGAUUCAGAGAUGAAGAGGCCCUUCGGGGCGCCUAUGGAGGUGCUGCAUGGUUGUCGUCAGCUCGUGCCGUGAGGUGUCGGCUUAAGUGCCAUAACGAGCGCAACCCUUGUUCGUAGUUGCCAUCGGGUUAUGCCGGGCACUCUGCGAAGACUGCCUCCGUAAGGAGUGAGGAAGGUGGGGAUGACGUCAAAUCAGCACGGCCCUUACGUCCGGGGCUACACACGUGUUACAAUGGCAUGUACAGAAAGCUGGGUGUAUGCAAAUACGCUCGAAUCCCCAAAACAUGUCUCAGUUCGGACUGGGGUCUGCAACCCGACCCCACGAAGCUGGAUUCGCUAGUAAUCGCGCAUCAGCCAUGGCGCGGUGAAUACGUUCCCGGGCCUUGUACACACCGCCCGUCAAGCCAUGAAAGCCGGGGGCGCCUAAAGUCCGUGACCGCGAGGGUCGGCCUAGGGUGAAACCGGUGAUUGGGGCUAAGUCGUAACAAGGUA
rnacentral:rRNA from 1 species